rnacentral:rRNA from 1 species
AUUGAACGCUAGCGGGAUGCUUUACACAUGCAAGUCGAACGGCAGCGCGGACUUCGGUCUGGCGGCGAGUGGCGAACGGGUGAGUAAUGUAUCGGAACGUGCCCAGUAGCGGGGGAUAACUACGCGAAAGCGUAGCUAAUACCGCAUACGCCCUACGGGGGAAAGCAGGGGAUCGUAAGACCUUGCACUAUUGGAGCGGCCGAUAUCGGAUUAGCUAGUUGGUGAGGUAACGGCUCACCAAGGCGACGAUCCGUAGCUGGUUUGAGAGGACGACCAGCCACACGGGGACUGAGACAGGGCCCAGACUCCUACGGGAGGCAGCAGUGGGGAAUUUUGGACAAUGGGGGCAACCCUGAUCCAGCCAUCCCGCGUGUGCGAUGAAGGCCUUCGGGUUGUAAAGCACUUUUGGCAGGAAAGAAACGUCGCGGGCUAAUACCCCGUGGAACUGACGGUACCUGCAGAAUAAGCACCGGCUAACUACGUG